ensembl:snoRNA
GCCAUGACUUGGCAGUGGCUGGGACUGACUUAGUCUUGUUGUAAGAAAAAAUAAAAAUUCUUAGGUCUGUAAUCUUGGUGGGUCAUACAGAGGUAUGUGUGCUCACUGUAAGGGCAGACCAACAGGAAUAUUGUCCUACUUUUGAACCACCUUUCUUAGGAGGGGUGGUUCUUCCAGUUGCCAGAGAGAAAUUGUGGUAACUGACACCAGAGUGGGAACAGAGAUAUUCAAGGUAUCAGGUCAGGGGUCUCAAAGGACUUGGCUAUGUUGUGACCACUGAGAGAUGAAACACAGAUCUUUGGUAAUCUGAUGGCU